ensembl:lncRNA
CAUCUUCCUCUCUGCCUUGUGAAGAAGCUGUGACGAGUGAUCCCUGGUGUGAGCCAGGUACCCUCUUUGCUGCCCCAGAUACACCCUCAGCAAGCAAACAAACAGCCAGGAAGGAAAACCCACAGAGGGAGCUGCUCUCUUAAAUUUGAGUGGACAAAGGAGAGGAAGUUUAAACUCGGACAAGAUGAUUUUCUUUCCCUAAGAGUUCACUGAUUUUCAAUUCAAAACGCUAUUUCUUCCACACAUUGGUACACACACAUGAGCAAGUGUGUGCAUGCUUCUUGCUCUCUUGGUCUCUACAAGGAAUGUUAGAUAUUUGAGCAGUGGAGGCCAGAGCAGUUAAAUCACAGCAGGAGAUGCCCAUGCUGUAGAGCAGUUGCGCACCCUGGUGAGGCUCCCUGGAUGGGAUGUGCGUGUGCUCUUGUGAGGACUGACAUGUCCAUAGGAUGUACUCUAGGGUUGCUUUAGACCUCACCCAGCAGCAGAGAUGGCUGUAGCAUUUGAGCAAGAUGCCUUACCUCUUACCCUCUGGGUUCAGACCCAAGUGAGCUGUUAUGCAGUUGCUCUAUCUAUCAAUCCAUUUAAAUUCUUACUGAUGUCGGACAGGUCAGUAGAACAGCGCUAUUAACUCCGAAGGACCUAGGAUGAGCCUAACAAGUCUAUAGGAGCACUAGAGUUUUCAGAUCAGGAGGUUACUCUUUGGUUGCCUGUGUCCACCUCAACCUGGAAUGUGGAGGAAAACUUCCCUGCUGAGAGAGAAGCAUGAAUGGAGAAGAAAAGGCAGUGGAAGUACACCUGAAGUGUAGGCUAUUUUUAUCAUGGUGAGAGAAAGCCAGAUCAUGAAAACUGGUCCUGCAAUGAAGGCAAGUACCAACUCAUCCACGAGAGUGUGACUUCACAGCCUGCACCAUGUCAUUCUUCUGGCAUUUUGCAUGGGAAAACGGCUUCUGCUCCAUUCCUGCAAAACUGUUCACUGUCAGUGGCGCAAAAUCUACAGGUAAGACUUGUGGAGCAAGAGGCUUUUUGUUCAUGUUUGAAGAACACACAUGCUGGAGGUGAUCCAGUGGCACUGCUUGUUUUCAGCUUCACUUGUUUCAGUGUUGGUGAGGUACCAAGAUGGGGAACUGGUGCCCAGGGUCAGGUUUCACCAGGACAGCAGCAUAUGUUAGAGAGUCCAUGCUGGAAGGCUCAGGGAUGAGAAGGGAUAUCCCUGACUAGUGGAAAUUACCCCUGAAACCCACUCAUGAGGUAAUUAGAGAUCGUAUAUCUUCCAUGGUGCAAUGAAAUUGCAGAUUAAGCAGCAAGUGUGAUAAAAGCCUACAGAGAGAAAAGGUCCAUCCGUGAAGGAAGGGGGUGGAAGGGACAAAGAGAAAGCUGUGGAUGAAGUGUGGUUCUAUUUAAGUGUUCACCUCGUUUAGUGUGCAUGCAGGUAUUGAAGGGCAUGAGCACAGAGGUGGUUGAGUCAGUUACUUUAUCAGUCGUAAAGAGGUAAUCAUGACCCUUAUUUGACUGAAGACUGUAAAAGGAGACUCGAUGCUAGCAUUUACUGUAUUUUUCUCCCCCUCUAUUUAAAGGACGGCAAAUUUUGAAUUAUGGUAAUAGCUGUGCUCUUGUUUUAGGACUAGCCUCCCU